GAUGAACGCUGGCGGCGUGCUUAAUACAUGCAAGUCGAGCGAACGGACGAGAAUCUUGCUUCUCUGAUGUUAGCGGCGGACGGGAGAGUAACACGUGGAUAACCUCCCUAUAAGACUGGGAUAACUUCGAGACACCGGAGCUAAUCCCGGAUAAUCUUUUGCACCGCAUGGUUCAAAAGUGAAAGACGGUCUUGCUGUCACUUAUAGAUGGAUCCGGGCUGCAUUAGCUAGUUGGUACGGUAACGGCUUACCACGGCAACGAUGCAUAGCCGACCUGAGAGAUGGAUAGGCGGCAUUGGAAGUGGAACACGGGCCAGACUGCUACGGUAGGCAGCAGAAGGGAACGGGCCGCAGUAGGAGAGAGCAUGGCGGAGCAACGCGGGGAGGGUUGUGGAAGCCUUGCGAGCGGAAAACUCGGUUACGAGGGGUGAACAUAUUUGUAAGUAACUGAAGACAGCUUGACGGUACCUGAUCAGAAAGCCACGGCUAACUACGUG
rnacentral:rRNA from 1 species